GAGCUACUACUUUGUCCACAAUGGAUAAGUUGGCCCACUUUAGUUGAAUAACGCCAAAUAGCACACGAUUUUUUCACAAAAUACGCAAUGCCAGGAGUUAUAGGAUAUGUUGACGGAACACACAUUAAGAUAAUAUUCCCUUCAAAAAACAUUCAUCAAUUUUACAACAGAAAAGGCAAAUGCAGUUUGAACGUUAUGCUCGUAUGCGAUAGUAAUCUGAAGAUUCGUUUUAUAGAUGCGACACAUCCUGGUGCUUGCCACGAUGCCUUUACAUGGAACUUAAGCAGCUUAUGACAUGAAAUGAUGGGAAAAUAUUUGCAAACCCACAACAGAGUUUGGUUACUAGGAGACGCUGGGUCCCCGCUAGAGCUGUGGCUACUUACUCCAUAUAGAACACCAGAAAAUAAUUCAGUUCAGGCCAAAUUUAAUGAAGUACACACACGUUGUCGAAAUAUAAUCGAAAGAACAAAUGGUGUUCUAAAAAACCGAUGGAGGUGUCUGUU